AGCGAACGCUGGCGGCGUGCUUAACACAUGCAAGUCGAACGUGAAAGGGGGCAACCCCGAGUAAAGUGGCGUACGGGUGAGUAACACGUAGGCAAUCUACCUUAAAGCCUGGAAUAACCUGCCGAAAGGCGGGCUAAUACUGGAUAGAGCGAGGAACUCGUAAAGAGUUUUUCGGGAAAGGGAGCUCGUAAGGGCCCUAACUUUAAGAUGAGCCUGCGUCCCAUCAGCUAGUCGGUAAGGCAACGGCUUACCAAGGCUAUGACGGGUAGCUGGUCUGAGAGGAUGAUCAGCCACACUGGAACUGAAACACGGUCCAGACUCCUACGGGAGGCAGCAGUGGGGAAUCUUGCGCAAUGGGCGACAGCCUGACGCAGCCACGCCGCGUGAGUGAAGAAGGCCUUCGGGUUGUAAAGCUCUGUCGGUCGGGACGAAAAACUAAGGGGUUAACAGCCUCUUGGUCUGACGGUACCGAAAAAGGAAGCACCGGCUAACUCUGUGCCAGCCGCCGCGGUAAAAC
rnacentral:rRNA from 1 species